UUCUUUCUUUCAUCUUCUUCUGUUUUCUCUUCUUCCUGUUCUUCGUCUGCGAGAGUUUGUGAGGUAUGAGUGAGAUGUGUUAGAUGAAAAUUUUCUGAUGAUGUUGUUAGAUGAUAGGGAAGAUAUAUUAGCUUUUGGAUGUGAAGCAGGACGGUUAUGUUCUGAAAUGAUCAAGAUUAGGGCUUUAGAUUUGAUUUAGGUUUUGAAGAUUUUAAUGAUGAAAUCAAGGAGUUAUAGUUGAUGAAGAAUCAUGGGUAGAAGUUUAAUAGCAGUUCUGAAGUUGCUUUGGAGAUUGAAUCUGAUAAUUAGGGUUUCUGCAUGUUGGAAUGGAGUUCAAAUUGGGUAAAGAUUGAGAAGAUUUAGAUAGAAUUGUAAAAUGGGUUGUUGAUGUGAAGAAUUAGGUUGUUGUUUUGGAUUCGAAUUUGAGAAUUAGGUUUUGUUCUUGAGAUGAAGAAAUCCAGAAAAGAUUGAUGAACCAGUUGAGACUGUGAUAAGUUAUGGUGGUGGUGCUAACUCGAGUGUUGACUCAACUCAGAUGACGAAGCAAAGGUGAAAUAAGGGUUCCAUCAGAAUUGAUUGGAUGAUUUAGCAAUUCAGAGAAUACGAAUUAUUGGUCUUCAUAGGUGCAGGACUAGAAGAGUUGUAGUUGUUGGGAGUUGUGUUAAGUUACAGGGAGGAGGAAUUGUAUUUCAGAGAACUUUGGUGUUGGGAAUGAAGAACUGGAGAUGAUGUUUGGGAUUAAGGAAUACAAGUUUGGAUGGAGGCUGAGUAUGGCUUAGAGAUUGCAGGGCUUGAGUUACAAUUGCAGGACUAGUGAUAUCAACGACGCAGAUGCAGGGUGAAUGUAAUUGUGUAAGUGAGAUGGUGUUGGUGUUUUGGUAUUUGAGUGCGUGGCUCGGAGGUGGUAAUAGUAGGUUGUGCUGAUGGUUUGUAGUGGCAUUUGAAAUGGAGAUGAGUUUUGGUAAUGGUGGUUGUUGGGGGUAAUAACUUCAAUAGAGGCUUGCAACUGCCAUUGCAGGUAAGCCGAUCUUAUUGUUGUGAAUAAGUUAUGAAGUUUAACUUAAUGUGUUAUUAUUGUAAUGGGUUUGUAGCUAUAAUUUGAUCGAAUUGAAAUGUUAUAGGUGAAGUGAGAUGGAAAAAGAGUAAUUGUAGUGUUAUGUUGACAGUAAUUGUGAAAGCCUGCAAUUGCAGAUCAGGUAAAUUUACUUUAGUGUUGUAAUUGAAUUCGGAAGUUUUUUUAAGAAUGAAUGAACUGAUGUAUUGUGUAAUUUGAAGUUGAACUUGGAUUAGAGUUAUAGUUGUGUGAGAA